rnacentral:rRNA from 1 species
UACGUAGGGUCCGAGCGUUAAUCGGAAUUAUUGGGCGUAAAGGGCGCGUAGGCGGCCUGCUAAGUCGAACGUGAAAUCCCCGGGCUCAACCCGGGAACUGCGUCCGAUACUGGUUGGCUUGAAUCCGGGAGAGGGAUGCGGAAUUCCAGGUGUAGCGGUGAAAUGCGUAGAUAUCUGGAGGAACACCGGUGGCGAAGGCGGCAUCCUGGACCGGCAUUGACGCUGAGGCGCGAAAGCCAGGGGAGCAAACGGG